AGAGUUUGAUCAUGGCUCAGAAUCAACGCUGGCGGCGCGCUUAACACAUGCAAGUCGAACGGGAAAGUGGAGCAAUCCAUGAGUACAGUGGCGUACGGGUGAGUAACACGUGGGUAUCUAACUCUUAGUGGGGAAUAACGCUGGGAAACCGGCGCUAAUACCGCAUAAGCUNGAGAGAGGAAAGCAGCAAUGCGCUGAGAGAGGAGCCCGCGGCCGAUUAGCUAGUUGGUAGGGUAAAAGCCUACCAAGGCAGAGAUCGGUAGCCGGCCUGAGAGGGCACACGGCCACACUGGCACUGAAACACGGGCCAGACUCCUACGGGAGGCAGCAGUGGGGAAUCUUGCACAAUGGGGGCAACCCUGAUGCAGCGACGCCGCGUGAGCGAUGAAGCCCUUCGGGGUGUAAAGCUCUUUCGUCAGGGGAGAUUAUGACGGUACUUGGAGAAGGCCUGNGGCUAAUUAANA
rnacentral:rRNA from 1 species